rnacentral:misc_RNA from 1 species
CUAAUCUUUGGUGGUUCUGUUGCUGGUCUUCAUUCUGCUUCGCAACUGUACCUCCUUGACCCAACAGAUGAGAAACCAACAUGGAGGAUUCUAAAUGUACCUGGGAGACCCCCAAGAUUUGCUUGGGGACACAGUACCUGUGUUGUCGGAGGGACGAGGGCUAUAGUCCUUAGUGGUCAAACUGGGGAGGAGUGGAUGUUAAGUGAGCUCCAUGAGCUGUCCUUGACCAGUUACAUUAUUUGAUUCGCAAAAAAUGUAUUGGCAAGCUGCGGCAAAGGAAUCACCUGAAGCCUUCAACUUGAUAAUUUCUUGAAAACUCAGUUGAGAGGUUAACUAAAAACUUUUGACAAAUGUUGCUUUGGUCAGGACUUUGUAUUAGGUGGUUGUCGGUUAUUUGAUUUUCUUGUACAAGGUUGUUCUGGCUCGAGAUGAACUUUCAUAAGGUGACUGAAAUCUCAGAAAGUAGAAAGCAGCUGAAAAUGUCAAAAAUGAAUGUGAAAAAUAGCUGGUUCUUGUAUUCUCCUGCAACUUUGCAGGCUCUUUUGUUUGCUGACCAUUCUGUUUAAUGGAGUUUUUUUUUUUUUUUUUUUUUUUU